CGUAGGGUGCAAGCGUUAAUCGGAAUUACUGGGCGUAAAGCGUGCGCAGGCGGUUGUGCAAGACAGAUGUGAAAUCCCCGGGCUUAACCUGGGAAUUGCAUUUGUGACUGCACGGCUAGAGUGUGUCAGAGGGGGGUAGAAUUCCACGUGUAGCAGUGAAAUGCGUAGAUAUGUGGAGGAAUACCGAUGGCGAAGGCAGCCCCCUGGGAUAACACUGACGCUCAUGCACGAAAGCGUGGGGAGCAAACAGGAUUAGAUACCCUGGUAGUCCACGCCCUAAACGAUGUCUACUAGUUGUCGGGUCUUAAUUGACUUGGUAACGCAGCUAACGCGUGAAGUAGACCGCCUGGGGUGUACGGUCGCAAGAUUA
rnacentral:rRNA from 1 species